UCACGGCAACACUGGAUCCUUAAACCCCUGACCGAGGCCAGGGAUGGAACCUGUGUCCUCAUGGAUACUGGUCCAGUUUCAUUGCUGCUGAACCACGAUGGAAACAACCAGAAGCCUUUUUAUGAAGUGAGCCUAUCUCCCCUGUCCUACCGUGAAGAAGAGUAGUGAGGCUAGACUCUGAAUCUGGACUGGGUUAGAGAUGGCCAACUGAAAAAAGGAGGAUUAAGUGGGGGUAUUUAUAGGGAAUGCUGGACCUCCAAGCCCUCUCCAUUCCCCUACCAUCCAGCGCACUGACCUAGAUCCUACAGGCAGGUGAAUGGAAGACCGUUUUCCAUAAAGUAGAAGGAAACGUAAAAGCAGAAAAGAUGGGGAAUUUAGGGGUCCAAUCCUUUAAGGUCAUAUUCCAAAUUUACAGGAAUUCCAGAGAGGAUAUUAUAUAAGCUGAGAGAGAGAAACUGAUCACCCACAAAGCAUUGAAGAUCAAAACACUUAAAACUAGUGGAACAACACCUUUUAAAUUUUUUGAGGAAUAUGUUGUUUCUUCUCAGAAUUCAGUCAAACCAUCAGUCAAAUGGGAAGGUAGAAUAAAGACAUUUCAGAUCUAUAAAGUCUCAAAUUUUUUUUUUUAUCUCCUGUGUUCUCUUUCUUAGGAAGAAGCUGGGGAAUGCAUUCCAACAAAAUAAGGAAGCAGAAAUAAAUGAAUAAAUAAGUGAAGCAGAAGAGAUACAAUAUAAAGGACCCUAACAUGAGUGCUAACAGAGGAGCAAGGCAAAGGCACCCCAGGAUGAAGGCAAAGGGAGAUUCCAGGAUGACAGCAAUGACCUGGCUGAAAAGAUCCUCAGUCUACACUAGCAACGAGGACGACCCACUUCAUUCAAAAUCCCAGAUCUACAGGCAUAUUGGGACAGAGGCUCUACUGUGGGCAUAGAUUUAUCAAUAUACUCAUCUCCUUCUAGUGGAUUUUCCAGUGGAUUUACCAGCCUUCCACACCACUCUUCAGGGGCUUGGCAGCAAAAUCCCUUCUUCUUCACAGUUGUAUAACCAGAGCUUGGGGAAGGUGGCACAGAACAGGUACCUGAUAACUGUUUGCUGGGCUGAACUCGGUUCCAAUCAUGAUGAGAUAGUGUACCAUCCCUUUCUAAGAGCUACUCCUCAGCUGCAGUGGGACCUGUCAGCUUGAACAUUUACGUUUCUUAGCUCCAAUUAUAUCCACCAUCUUCAAAAUUAUUCAUGUGGCACUAAUAUACUAUAAACAAACUGUCCAAAAGAUUUUGAUUCUGAGUGACAUACAGUCACUAGGUAACAUGACAUGUUUCCAUCACACCGUUCUAGUAAAAAGUAGUAAACCAGUUAUUGAAUAAUGAAAUUAAUUUUCCCUGGGGCCUCUGUGGCAAAGCGCAUGAUUUUCUUCGUUAUCUUACAUCAGCCUACUGACCCUAGCUGCUAAGCUGUACCGUCAGGCGCUUUUGGAAACUGAAAACUUUGAACUGUUACUUCCUACACCACAGCCCCAGUUUAGCAGCACUUGCAUUUCACAUCUUAAUCUUAUUUUAAUACAGCCAGAGCAGACCUCACGUUUCAAACGUUCAUUAACAAAGUCUCACAAUUAAGAGAGCAGCCCAGUGACUCAUUUUUGGAUACCCGUUUGGAAAUAACAGCUCCUCCCUUUGCUGAGAAAUGGCUUAAACAAGUGCGUGAGAACCACAGGAAGUAAUACAGAUCUCAGCUGCUGUCAGCCAAGUCUAGAAUUCCCUCUCCAGCGGUGUGGCGCUCCUAGGCGCUGCCACUACCUCUUGUCUCCAUUCUCUAAAACAAAUAAAUAAACCAAAGUCUUAUAUGGGCUUGGAAGAGUGUGAAAUAUUUCAAGGCGGUAACAAGUCUCCGUAUUUCCUGGAUCCUGAGUCAUACUGUCAAGUGCAAGUCAAGAAGUUCCCAUUCUGGUAUUUUUGAGAAAGUGCAACCUAAUAGGAAGUGAAGAGGUGAUCAAACCGAAGUAAUGCUCCCACGAAUUUAAAAAACAAACAA